GGGGCUGUGGCUUAGUGGCAGAGUAUCUGUUUUGUAUGCAGAAGGUCCCGGGUUCAAUCCCUGGCACCUUCG